rnacentral:rRNA from 1 species
UGGUGGGGUGACUUGUCUGCUUAAUUACGAUAACGAACGAGACCUUAACCUGCUAAAUAGCCCGCAUUGCUCCGGCAGUGCGCUGGCUUCUUAGAGGGACUUUCGGCUCAAGCCGAAGGAAGUUUGAGGCAAUAACA